CCAAUGAUGGCGACCGGCGCACGGGUGAGUAACGCGUAUCCAACCUACCCUUGUCCAUCGGAUAACCCGUCGAAAGGCGGCCUAACACGAUAUGCGGUUCACAGCAGGCAUCUAACGUGAACGAAAUGUGAAGGAGAAGGAUGGGGAUGCGUCUGAUUAGCUUGUUGGCGGGGUAAUGGCCCACCAAGGCUACGAUCAGUAGGGGUUCUGAGAGGAAGGUCCCCCACAUUGGAACUGAGACACGGUCCAAACUCCUACGGGAGGCAGCAGUGAGGAAUAUUGGUCAAUGGGCGAGAGCCUGAACCAGCCAAGUAGCGUGCAGGAUGACGGCCCUAUGGGUUGUAAACUGCUUUUAUAGGGGGAUAAAGUGUGCCACGUGUGGCAUAUUGCAGGUACCCUAUGAAUAAGGACCGGCUAAUUCCGUGCCAGCAGCCGCGGUAAUACGGAAGGUCCAGGCGUUAUCCGGAUUUAUUGGGUUUAAAGGGAGCGUAGGCCGCUUGGUAAGCGUGUUGUGAAAUGUCGGGGCUCAACCUGGGCAUUGCAGCGCGAACUGUCAGACUUGAGUGCGCAGGAAGUAGGCGGAAUUCGUCGUGUAGCGGUGAAAUGCUUAGAUAUGACGAAGAACUCCGAUUGCGAAGGC
rnacentral:rRNA from 1 species